UUCCAGAGCAAACAUGUGAGAACCCCUUAGGCUGUGACCAGUUCUAGGGCUGGGGAUGAGCUCACCAGCACCUGUGUGCCAUUCUGAAGACCUACUUCUACCUUCUUUGCUGAGGCUUCCAUCCAGGUGUCCCUCUAUCUUGGAGAUUUGGAAAUGUCUGCUUCAUCCAUAACCCCCACCCUCGGGCCCAGAUCUUGGCCACAUGUCAUCUAAUUUGAGCCCACUUCCAUCAACUGUGAGCUUCCUGAAUAAGAAGACCCUAUUUGACAGAGGAACUGGGAGUGAGUCUCUCUGUUCUGCCUCCCCAUCCUCCUCCUCCCUUCUCACCCCUCUC
rnacentral:lncRNA from 1 species